GAUCAACGCUGGCGGAAUGCUUUACACAUGCAAGUCGAACGGCAGCACGGACUUCGGUCUGGUGGCGAGUGGCGAACGGGUGAGUAAUACAUCGGAACGUGCCCAGUCGUGGGGGAUAACGUAGCGAAAGCUACGCUAAUACCGCAUACGAUCUAAGGAUGAAAGCGGGGGAUCGCAAGACCUCGCGCGAUUGGAGCGGCCGAUGGCAGAUUAGGUAGUUGGUAGGGUAACGGCCUACCAAGCCGACGAUCUGUAGCUGGUCUGAGAGGACGACCAGCCACACUGGGACUGAGACACGGCCCAGACUCCUACGGGAGGCAGCAGUGGGGAAUUUUGGACAAUGGACGCAAGUCUGAUCCAGCCAUUCCGCGUGCAGGAUGAAGGCCCUCGGGUUGUAAACUGCUUUUGUACAGAACGAAAAGGCUCUGGUUAAUACCUGGGGCUCAUGACGGUACUGUAAGAAUAAGCACCGGCUAACUACGUGCCAGCCGCCGCCGUAA
rnacentral:rRNA from 1 species